UGGUUCGCAGGCGCAAGCCCGGGAGACCCCGGGAGAAAAGCCCGCCCCCAGCGGCCACCAGAGAGGAGCUGGAAUCCCGGGAGUCCCGGGAAGGCCCCUUGAAGGUGCUUGCGCUCCCGGCGCCAGGGGCCCCGCGUACUCACGCUGUCUCCAGCGACAAGAUGAUGAGACGCGCUCGCGCCCCCACCCGGCAUGCAAACAUUGUCUCCGACGACAAGAAGGUGAGCCGUGAUCGCGCCCCCACCCUGCAUGCAAACCGUGUCUCCGAUGACAAGAUGGUGAGCCGCACUCGCUUCCCCCUCUCCUACUAGUGAUUUGGAGUUAACCGGUGCCUAAUGAUUUGAAGUUACUGACAAUCUUUAAUCCAGUCAUGUGAAUUGUACUAGUGCUUACUGAAUUACAUGAUGUGUAUGUGCAUGAACUACGUGGUGUGUACAUGUCCUUGGAUUUUCUAAGCAUUGCGGUCUCAUCUGGCAGAUGGACAAGAACGAGAUGGUGCCGGUCCAGGGGGUGUCGCGCAUGCGGGGGAGCAUCGCGUCGUCAAGUGUGGUUGGUAAGUAUACUUUAUGCUGCUUUUUAUUGUCAACAUCGUCUCCAUGCAGGCUACACUGGCAAACAAGCUGCUUAACUCUUGUGCAUGCUGGUUUUUUGUCAUCACUAGUAUACUGGUACUGGACUGGAGCUUGUUAGCUCUGUCCAUGCUGGGCCUUUUUGUCAUCAUUAGUAUUGUUAUAUAUUAGCUGAAGCUGCACAUGUUUUCUUUCCAUUGACGUUGGUGCGGGCGGUGCUACGCGUCAGUCGGCUGAUGGAUGGACGCCUUACUCACCUGAUUUUAAUCAAGUCCCACCUAGGUGUAGUUUGUUUUGUCACUAGCUGUGUAUACAUAGGCGAGCUCCAGCACUGCGUUGCAGCGUGGAAAACAUAUGAACUGUAAUAAGAAACAUGCAGUGGCUAGAAACAUCUCCACAUAUUUUUUCCAACACGUUUUAGGUGUCAACGAAAUUAGUCGGAUCGCCAGCCAUCGAAUUGACACAUGGAGCAUUGGAUCACAAUACACGGCAGCAGAGAGAAUGGAAACCGUGUUUGUCCAUUGCCUCCACAAUACAUAUGUAUCCACCACCCCUCCUACAUCGUCGCAACAGACAAUUACGUCGGCCCCUUCCGACACCUCGCUUUGGUACCCUAGAGACCCUGAUGUCGCUUGGAUAUCCUGCAAGUAUUAUUACAGUGCGCCAACAAGGCGUCGUCCUUGCAACAUUGUCUUACAGACAAUGUAGUUGAUGCCACCACCACCAUCACCCAUUUACACAUGGGCCGUCGCAUGUGGCACUGUUCGUGGGAUAAAACACACCCCGCGAGAAUACGUGGUUGCACCACUGCGAUCUAUGCACCUUAGGAAUUGUUUUGACUGCCCCUGCAAAACUAGCGAUGAUACGGCCAUCGCCCUGCAACAUUGGCCAUAGUUGUAGCACAUCUGAGAAGACGGAUGCCGCACCUAACAACACAGUAUGUGUUUUUUGCACCAUAAGAAAGCACUGCCUUGCAACGUCGGCUAUCAGGGUGCUGCACUGACAAACACACUCACGACCUUGAGACGUCGUAUGCCUUGGCCGAUGUAGCAUAGUGCUCCUCUUUCAGCACAUAGCGAUGGCUUGUAGCAUUGAUGGUCGGAGAGUCGCUGCAUCGUUGAGUGGCAGUGCUAGCCAAACUCAUUGUCAUAGAGAAGGGGGAAUAAAGGAUGGGUGUGCACGUGGUGGAAAUAAAGCGAAUGGAUAUGGUGAAGAGAGAGGAUGACUAACAAGGGGCAUCUGGCGCUAGAGCGAGCUGACUGAUUUCCCCCUAAAACCAGCCUGUUGAAUAUAAUUCAAUUUUCUUUUGAGAGACCUCAUAAAAACGUCGCAACAUGCGAGCAUGUCUAUACAAAAAAUUGUAGAUAUACAACACAUACUCAUUAGCUGCAACAAAUCAGUGAAAAACACAAUGUAUAUAGGCCUGAACCGAUGGAUCAUCAGCAUGCAUCUGCCAGCUCUUCCUAGGUUACGCCCAACCGUGAGUCGUUCAAUUGGGUCACACAUCACUACCCAAUCAACCACCAACUUAGUUGUUCCUCUCGUCUCCUCUACCCACCCUUGGCAACAUACACCCAUGAUUCUCAGCAAUAGACCAACAUGGAGGCGACAAUGGUGGCCAUGAUAGGCUAGUGAAAAGCACACUGGUUGGUCAACCUUACAACACUAAACAGAAACAUUGCAACAUGAGGUAACCCCAACUUUGUAGCACUGGUGCACCAUUUUCAACCACCUUGUAGCAAUGAAAAGUUCACUGACCAAUAGCAUUACUGCACCAAGUUACCGGCUUCCAGCACUGAACACCCGGGCUUGUAGCACCGCGAUGAUCGAUGGUCGGCCUUUCAACAGUAUUAGUUAACAUUGCACACCUCGUCUCCAUUUUUAUGUACAUACGCAUGAGUGACCUUGGAACAUCAGUAACGUGUCAACAUUAUCAAACUUGAAGACGAUAAAUUUGUUUCUCCAAGCAUCGACAUUACUGAAUAAGCGUGCAACUGCACAUCCACCACAUGAGCCAUAAUUUUUUAGCCCUGCGACAACAGCUUAUAGUUGCAAAAGAGCUGACGAUGAUGGUUUAGAAUGUAUAUGAUCAAAACAGAUUAAAUGGAGGGGAGGGUGGACUACCUAUGUUGAAUCAGACUAGCCGCAAGGUCACAAGUGCCUUGUCUAAAUAGCCAAAAAGACAAAAGGAGGCCUCCUGGAUUCUCCAUCCCGAAGCUAAGCAUAACUCCAACUCCAGACACGCUAGGGGGCUACUAAAGGUGCAAUACGGUAGGGGUGUCUUCUGGGUGGGAAGCCUGGUAGCAGGCCUACCUUAGGGCCCAAGAGGCCAAGUGGAGGAUCGGUGCAGUAGGGCAGCUCAGGAGCCCAGAUAAGGACUGUGAGAGCAUCUUGGCAUGCAAGCUAAGAUGGCAGUGGUAUGAGAUCUGAUGGAUUCCUUGUAAACCUAGCCCUUGCCACCUAUAUAAGGAGGGGCUCGGGGUUGUCAUUCACAUAUACUCUCAUAGACUAUACUCUUUGUAGCAUUAUACUUCAUCUCCACUCUAAACCCCUCGCACAAGGUGCUCCGCCAUGAAUAAAAAUCAGAUACAGGAAGUUGGGCAUUACCUCUCACCGAGGGCCCGAACCAAGGUAAAAACCUUUGUGUGAACUCCCUUGUCAUGGAUCCCUACAAGUUCACCACCCUACUAUGGGUACUCACAUUUUUACAUACUGUCACAUAGUUAAGUUCUGACACAUUUUCUCUGGGGAGUUGAAACAACUCAUGGUGUAAGUAGGUGUUGCUUGAAGCACUGAUUCUACUAGCACCUCCUUUCCAGCCUUCGAGAUACCUUGUCCUUCCUAUCCAACCACUUUGCCAUUUGAGCUUUCUUUAAGAUGUUUAAAAUUUCCCUCCUUUGACCUACCCACCACGGUUGGAAGCCCCAAAUAAUGCUCGCUCAAUGCCUUAGGAUCUGUGCAAAGAUAUUUACAACAACUUAGUCCUCCUAUUUGCCUCACUUCCCAAAGAAUGUUGAGGCUUUUUGAAAAUUUACCAUUUGUCCCGAGGCCCACUCGUAGUCAAUGAGGAUAUAUUUAAGGUUACAAAGUUGCCAUUUGACGGUUGAAGAAAUACUAUACUAUCAUCUGCAGAAAUAAGAUGGGCUACAUGGGGGUUAGUGCUCCCAAAAGAUAUACCAUUGAUCUCUUUAUCUUUGAGCACUCAUGAGAAAGGCCAAAAAACUCGCAACAUAGAAAAAAAAUAGGGAGACCUCUUCAUAGUAUAAAAAAAAUAGGGAGCCCUCUUCAUAGUAUAAAAAAAAUACAAAACACACUCCUUUCAAUUUGAUCGAAAACCUGGCCGGGGUACCACACAUCAUAAUCAUCAAGAUCAACCUAUCUGAGAAACCAAGUGCCCUCAUCAUCAGAUCGAGGAAAAUCUAAACCAACCUCUUAUAGGCCUUCAUCCUGUAUAGUUUAAUUGCCAACAUUGGAUUUUUUCUAUUUCUUGAAUGUACUUUGCUCCUUCGUGAUCAUAAUGGAUAGGACAACCUUCAAUCUCUUUGCUAGGCCUUUGAAGCAAUCUGACUAAGCGUGUUCAAUAAGUUGAUUGAUCCCAUUUGAGGAAGUAUCUCCAUUUAGGUAAUUUUGGGGAUUAGGACUAGAACCAUAUCACUAAAGUUUGGUGAAAUAACUCCAUUAAAAGAAUCAUCUAUUACUAUGCGUACAUCAUUUUUUAGAAAUAACUAGUGAAAUUGGUAAACAUGAGUGAGAGGUUGUCUAGCCCCUGCGCUCCAGUCAAAUUUAGAAUAGUGCAUUCUCAAUUUCUUCAUCCAUCACGUCUGUGUUCACCCUCUCCUCCAUAUCACUAGUCACACAGGGUCGGAAGUGAGCUAAGAUGUUGUCAGCAUCAGCAGAGGCUUCUGAAGAAAACAACUAAGCAUAGAAAUCGGCCGAAAUCUUCCACAUCUCAUUGUCAGUAGUACAACUCGUGCCAUCCGCCCUCAUGUUUUGAUCGUCUUUCUUGAGAAAUUCCACUCGAGAACAUUGCAUACACAUUAUUUGUUCCUGUGCACGAACCACAUGAAGCUAGGCUUCAAUCUCGCUGGUCUUCACCGAGGAUGUCUGGAUCCCAAUGAUCUACCCUUUCCAUCGAAGCUGGAACUUGUGCCUAGUUAUCUCACAACAUACAAGACAAAAUACAGAGCCACUUCAAUAUUUCAUAUCAUUGGUGACAUUGUUAUGCUUCAUGUAGAGCUCACUCUGGCCGGAAUUGUUAUCACAUGCACACCAUCAUGCCUCCAUGGGCAUCCACCUCUCCUCAAACGUUAAUGCCUUGUUCUUACUUUUGGUAAUGACUAGGUUUUCUAGCGCUCUAUUAACGAGCAAACCAUGGUCUCGUCCUCCAUGACAACAUGUUCAAUGGUUGUAUCCUACAAUGAAUGCACGACUUCAUCAUUGCAUGGACCCCUGUCCACAUGUACAUAAAGCAUCUCAUCUCGCUCCCUCUUAUUGUCCCAAGUGUACAGGUUGCUACUAAAACAAAGUUUUGAAACGCUAUUAUUGGCUACACUCUCCCUAAUGCGUUCCAUUUGUGUGAAACUCCUCAAGUAAUCUCCUAGUUGUUGUGAUUAAAAGAAUUCUUUGUUGAGCUAUCAUUGUAAUAGAUAAAUGUAUUAUUAGGAUCCAGUUUCUCGGAGCCUCCCUUAGCUACACAAAUUUUCUUCAAUCUCUCUUCCUAUCAAGUAGCUUUAGGUUAUAAUCAUUGUGAUGCCUUUGGUAGUCACCAUCACCUUGCCUCGUAUUAUGAACAAAAGUGCCUCAUCUGCGUUGCUCUGAGGUAGAUGGUCAUCUUUCCCAAUGGCCUUGCACCCUUUCCCAUAUAUAUUUUUUAUGUCUUGCUUCCUUUCAUGCUCCUUUCUCAUGUCCCACUUCCUUUUUAGAUUUAAAUCAUCCCUUAGUUCACAAUCAUGUCACAGAUCUUGCCUGCAUUGGUCCUCCCUGCACUUCAUCUUAGACAGUGACCCUCUACAAGACCAUCUCGAGGAUCCUCGUAGAGAGAGAGAGAGUCCACAGAGGGUGUAUAAUCAUUGUAUGACCUGCACGUAAAUGGACGCACAUGCAACGCUACAUGACCCAUCGCCCAUAGACGCCCUUGCUUGACCUAGUGCUCCCAAAACUAAAGUUCCUCCUUUCUUUCACCAGCCUCUACUUUGUUUUUGUCUGUGAGGAGCCACGUCCAAGUUAUGCCCUCAACCAUUCACCCAACUGGGGUGAGGAAUCAUUUUGUGGUUCAAAUCAUCCGUCAACAUGUGCUAGUCUGUCGUAGUCAAUCCAAAAGAGAGGUAUCUUCUCAAAUUGAAAAUCAAACAAGGUCCCCUCAUCUUUUGCUGAAGAGUGGAGAAAGAAGCCUUAGACUAGUGAAAGAAAUAUGAAAAUUCUAGCUCUUGAUCUGAGAUGGUUCCCCCAUAAAUCCAUCCUUCUUAACAUCACUCUUUACCACGCCACGAAGACAAUUCCCAAGAGCAUUCCCAAAAGUAUAUGAUCAUUUAUAUAGGGGAGGAUCUGUAAUUAUCACCCAUGGCUCCGUCAUACAAAACAUUAUCUUUGAUGACCUAGUUUUUUCAUCAUAAUCCUUCAAAAGUAUCACAUUAAAACCAAAUUGCCACAUUCAAUUAUAUAGAGCGUGCUUUUAGACUCCUUUGUUAUGGAAUCUAAAGAAGAAGAUAUUAUUUCUAAUGUGACUUAUUUGGGCUUCCUAGUAUAGUCCCAUGUAUGUUGCAUAGCCCUAGCAAACACGUUGAUGUUGAUUUGCUGGAGUGAGCAUGCCUUUCCAACCACUGACCACCAAGUAGGCCUCGGUCGGUCUGGAAUCCUGAUCCUCAAACAUGAGAUCUAUUAGUUCCUUUUGUUGUCAAGUUCAGGGCUCCUUGUUAAUUUGGUUGAGAGUUUAGCUGCCUCCCCUGAAGCAUUUCCAUCUGUCAGGGACUUUUGAAGGUUCUCAUCUUAACGAUCCUUGGUCGCCAUGUUCACUUGAGCUGUCGAUUUACGCCACGCCUUCUCUCCCAUCACCGCGAAAAGGAGUGGAAGCACCAAGACCAGUGAAUGUAGGAGUUUACAGUGUCAUCACCUCAUAGAUGAAUAAAAACCUAACCCUAGCACUACUUGUCGGUCGCCUAUAAUCACCCUUAGCAUUUCUUUUCAUGUUGGGCCUGCCACUAGGUAUUUAUACGUGUGCUUCCAUUGGUACUUUUUUUUCGCUGGAGCAUUUCUGCUACAUUUGCCUUUCUACAAAGGCGGUCUCAUCCAAAUCAUAUAGUCUCCUCUAUCUAUAGGAAGCGAGGACAUUAGCUCUUCUUUUUUUCAAGGCAAAUACACUUGCUACUGUUCAAGCGACAUCUAAAGAAGUCUUGUCACAUGUGAAGACGACGCUAAGAGUGUGACACAUAUAGGUGCCAACUUGAAGAAUAAUGCAAAUUUCAGUAAAUAUGAAUAGCUCCAGGGGAACGAGCGCACAAAGGAAUCAGCCACCAUAAAUGGAUCAUUUCCAAAGAAACAAAGUCACAAAGAGAGAGACAAGACAUUAGCUUCUUUAUGGGGAACACAUACAUUUAAAUGUUGCCUUGCUCUCUGAUUAUUAACAAGAAAUAAUUUUUACUAAUAUAUUAUGUGUAAAUCUUGAUAGAUAUGGAAUGUAUUUUGGUCAGUAUGUUUUAAGGAAUCAUAUUAGUUUUUGGUAUGUUGAAAUUAGAAGAAGUUCAUGUGCCUUCAAGGCAUGUCAAGGUGUGUUGUUCCACCUCAAAAUUGGUACAUACUAAAUGGUUAUUCUCCCUACAUAUAGUCCCAAUUCUCAUGCUCUCUCUCUCUAUCUAUCUAUCUAUCUAUCUAUCUAUCUAUCUCUCUACAUUUUAUAUUCCAGACUACUCCAUAAAGCCUAACUGGUGAAGGUCCAGAAACACCCAGCAGUGAUGGGUUCAACUCCCAUUAGUAGUCUAUACUUAGUGGAGGAGAAAAAAGCCAAGCCCGGCAAUGGUGAAUAAAUCAGAAAAGAAAAUAAGGCCAUGCCCAGUCCAAAUCCGGCACCUGCCAACAAUGUGUAGUCUCCACUACUCGAACCUACUUUUCCUCAGUGUGUUACAUCAUGUGAUGUUUGGAGAAGCCAUAGAGUUGGGGAUCCGAAUAUAGAAAACAACAAUGGGGAGUGGCUUGAAGAAUAGGAGCCAAGAAGCCGGACGGACAAGGCCUCCGCCAUGCUGUACCAUUGGCCGAUACUGACCCGUAUGGUGCAAGGACCGAGGCAGAACUGAACACCGUCAUCAUCUAGGUUGCAAAGGAAGUUGGACCACUGUGUUUCUUCUCUCGGACAAACUCAAUGAUUUCAUGCAGUUGGCACCCACGCCACAUUCCACAGAGAUAACAACAUUGAGGAGGAGGAGGAGGAGGGGCAACGCAAGGUUUCUUCCUCAUAGGAAUUACUUUCGAGGAAGUGGGGGACGGUAUGGCAUGAUGAGCAGUUAACAAGGGAAGUUUGCAUGACUGUGGAGGACAAAUCAUGAAGACAAGUGUGCUAGUAGCUAUAUAAGGGAUGAAUGAUAGCAGGAAGGAAUAAUGAGCUUACUGGGUGAGGCUACUAUUUUUUAAGUUGCGACCUACUGAUCAUAACAACAAUUGAUCGUAACAACGUACCAUUGAUGAUAUAGGGUAUUGAUUUAGUAACUGUCACGAUGUGACUAGGGCUUGUAAGCGGUGGGUUGUAUAUUACUAACAAGUAGCAUGUUUAGCCUCAAUAUUGUCCUCUGUCACUCGUAACAUCGUACCAUUGACGGACCCCGUCACUACUACCUUUUUCCAACAAAAAUAGAAUUUUAGUUAUAGUAAGAUUCACAACAAUCCCGCCGGCCAUUAGUGCUAAGUUGCACUGCUGACCGGUUUUUUGACCCACCACUUUUGAUCGAUAACUAGGCGAGACCUCUAGUCUGGUGCACAUUUCUUUUGUUCAGAAUUUUUAGUGUUUUUAUGUGUACAAAGACAUAUAUUUCAACCCUAACAGGUUCUCUUUAGGUGGGGUCGAGAGUGAAGGACUGGGGAGCUUGGAAGCAGGGGAAAUGGCACCUCAAGGGGUUCAGGUCUCUAUGAUCAAUAACCACAAUUUUGAUCUGAAUGAGCUGCCGACUGAGCAUGAGUAGCUCAAGAAGGAGUAGUCACCUCUGGAGCAAGAGUAUCCGCCUAUGGCACAACAUGAGAUUUAAUAUUCACAAUGGUUGGAGGCUACUCAAAUCCCUCUUGUGUGAGCAAAGUUAACUCUUGGCCCAAAGUGUAGCCCUGUCAGAAAUUAUCGAAACAAUAUCCUUAUCCCAAGGACGAUUGUAAAGCUUAUGUGGAACUUUUGAAUUUCUCACUUCCUAUUUUUUGUUGAUUGACUGACGCUAUUGCUAAACUUGAGGGAAGGACCUUGUAUACUGCUUCAUGAUCAACGUGUCAACUGGAAAUGGCUUUUCUAUUCAUUUCCCAUGAUGGUUUUGAUAUGUGGAUUGUUUGAACAAGCAGGUGUUCAUUCGGUAAAGCUUUGUGAAACAUCAACGGUGGAGCUAGGUCUCUGGUCAUGUGAAAUGAUAGUAGGUCAAGAAGUGUGUUGGAUCAUGAGAUAACAUAUUUUCUAAGUUGUUAAUCAUGUGUGUUAACACCAUGGGUAGUAUGAGAGAAGGUCAACAUGCAUGUUUGGGUCUGAAAUGACCUCAUGACCAAAAAAGGGAGAGAAACAUGGCUAAUAGGAAUACGAACGAUAUGGAAGUUACUUGUUGCAUGGAUGUUAACUGUGGUUAUGAAGCCACACAAGAUGUCAGAGGACCCGCAUCCUUACAUAUCAAGGUUGACUUCACAUGCCAACUGGAUUUCGUCUAAAUUAUUGUAUAUGUAUGUAUGUUAUAUCUUGAAAUCUUACCAAACAAAAAACACCAAAAAAUACACUAUUUACUUCUCUUUGAUGCAUACUCUAGUUGGAGGGUAAUCAAAAGCUUAUGUGGAUAUUUGUCCAUAAUAGAAUAUACAAUGGUCUAGUGAGGCAAGGUGUAAAUGGACAGGACAAUAGUCGAACAUGAAAACAUCCAACAUUGUGUUAUAGUUGCAUCAAGUUGUCUAGUGAGUUAAUAUGGAAAUGGAGGAGGCUCAUAGGGCAACACGAGAACACCCAACAUGUAGCUCUACUUACUUCCUAUUGGUACGAAGAGACCGAGACUAGUGAACGGUUAACCAUAACACAUGGACAAGAUAUCUCAUACAAGAUGAAAAUGGAGUGAGUCUUGUAUGAAAAUGAUAACAAAGUAUGAGUGUGCAUAGCAUGCCAUCCCACAUACAUCAACUAUCCUACAUGUGAAUCAAAUCCACAUCCUACAUGGGCAUUGGGCUUUAGUUGGACUACCACUUUAUGGACAAGCCAUGUGCUCCAUGUAGUCUAUAUUGCAAAGGCGGGAGGACAGGGAGCAAAUAGUUUUCGAUGGCUGGACAUUGAAGUUAUUUGUCAAGAAAUUUGUUUCCUGACAUGGUUUGUUUAUUUCAUUGUUUAGUAUUCGAUAUCGGUUCAAUGCUCUAGUAUGUAACCUUCUUCUCACAUUUUGGGUCUAGCUCUUGGUGUUCAUGAGUUCAUUACUUAUGUUAACUAUUAUUGUUGUGCCUACUUGUUCAUAAGAGACUAUAAAAAUAACUAAGAUACUCCCGUAUUUAUAUUAAUAUAGUUGGCACUAAGGUAAUCAUCAACAUUGAAUAUUGCUCAUAUUUGUCAAAUAGGAGGUCAAGCUGGAUCUGUCUGGCGCAUCAUCUAUGGUCACAUAUGGUGUAUUGUCUAUUCUAAACCCAAUGAGUAUUGCAGAAUGACAUGUGCCUGCGGGGAGGAAUGAGUCACUGUUUUGGGUCAAGGGGUGAUGCCAUGCCUCAUAAUUGACAAUAAAAAAUUAACCACCUACAUAAAAAGUCUAACCCAAGACAGGGAAUAUGCGCCAUUGCAAUUUUACUGCACAAAGUCAUCGGUAUUUUGCAAUUGAAUGUUCCCCAUGUUGUGACUGAGAACACAAAACACAAAACACCCCACAAAACACUAUUCACUUCUCCUCGAUGCAUAUUCUAGUGGAAGGGUAGUCAUAACCAUAUGGGAAUAUUUUACCACAAUAGAAUCUAUAAUGGUCUAGUGAGGCAAGGUGUAAAUGGAGAGGAUAAUAGGCGAACAUGGAAACAACCAACAUUGUGUUGUACUUUCAUCUAGUUGUAUAGUGAGAUAAUAUGGAAACGGAGGAGGCUCAUAGGGCAACAUGAGAACGCCCAACAUGUUGCUCUACUUACUUCCUAUUGUUACCAAGGGACUGAGACUCGAGCAUGGUUAAUCAUAACACAUGGAAAAGAUCUCUCAUACUAGUUGAUAAUAGAAUGAAUCUUGUAUGAUAAUGCUAACAAAGUAUGAGUGUAGAUAACAUGCCAUCUCCUCCCUUUCUUGUUGUAUUUUCCUUCACCAACCCCCAUAGUACCCUGAUCAACACUAUUAAUUCGAUAUGCUUCACAUCUGAGUUAGAAUUGUGAUUGGGAAUAGUUGUAUCAUUAUCUAAGUAGACUUAUUUAAGGGGAAAUAACGGACAUGUCUUAUCUAUUAUAGCCACAUUCCGGAUAGGAAUAAAAAAAGUUGACAUAACAAUAUAAUUUGUUGAGAUUUGAAUCGAAAAUUCAACAUACAUCAACUAUGCUACAUGUAAAUCAAAUCCUCAUCCUACAUCGGCAUUCGGCUUUAUUUGGACUACCACUUUAUGGACAAGCCGUGUGGUCCAUGUGGUCUACGUCACAACGGCCAGAGGACAAGGAGAAAAUAGUUGUCGAUGAUUGGUGAUUGAAGUUAUUUGUCAAGAAAUUUUUUCCCCAACAUGGUUCAUUUAAUUCAUUAUUUAGUAUUUGAUAUAGGUUCUAUGCUCUAAUGUGUAACCUUCUUCUCACGAUUUGGGUCUAGCUGACAGUGGUCAUGAGUUCAUUACUUAUGUUAACUACUAUUGUUGUGUCCACUUGUUCGCAAGAGACUAUAAAGUUAACUUAUAUCCUCCCGUAUUUAUAUUAAUAUAGUUGGUGGUUAGGUAAUCCUUGACCUGGAAUAUUACUCACAUUUUUCAAAUAGGAGGCCAAGCUGGAACUGUCUAGUGCAUCAUCUAUGGUCACAUAUGGUGUAUUGCCUAUUCUAAACCCAAUGAGUACUACAUUAUGGCAUGUGCCUGCAAGGAGGAAUGAGUUACUCUUUUAUGUCAAGGGGAGCGGCAUGCCUAAUAAUUGUCAAUGAAAAAUUAAUAGUCUACAUCAAAAGUCUAACCCAAGAAAGUGAAUAUGUGCCAUUGUAAUUUUACAACACUAAGGGCCUGUUCUGAUCUUGUCCAGCUCCACGCUUCACAAAUUCCUGGAGCAGAUACGAGCCGAAUGAAAUAGCAGCGAGAAGCUAGCUCCAGGAAGCUAGGAUCGACUGCAGUGCAAAAUCAUGAAGCAGACUCGGCCCAGCUCCACCGAUCUGGAAAGCUGAAGUUAGCCCAUAUUACAAGUGAACUGCCAUAGCCAAAUCAUACAAGCCGAACCGGUACGCUCGAUCAGUUUGAUUGCUCCUCGUUCCCUCGCUCGUGCUCCCUCACUGCUCCUCUACAAGGCCGAUUUGGGUUGCCUCCAGUCAGCCCAACUAGCUCGAACAAGCCACAACCCUUCUAGUUGGGUUGCAGUGCCGCGAGAAGCUACAAACCGAGCAUAACAGAUUUUUCAUCGCUGCUUGGAGUGAGAAGCUACUCUGAAAAGUUGAAUUUCUUAAGUUUUGGGAAGCUAGAGGAGAUCAUAACAGGCCCUAAGUCAUCGGUAUUUCAUAAUUGAAUAUUCUCCAUGUCGUGACUUUUGAUGGUGUAAACCCAAAUAAUCGCCAUUGUGAAAUUAAAUUCCUCUCGUGAGUCGAACCCACAUCCAUAAAGAUGUGCCACUAAAAUCCACCUCCAGGCUAUCUUGGAGUCCUUAAUAUAAUCAAGUGUGCCCAAUAUGGUGACUUAAUAUGUAUUUAUUGACCCUACGAAGCUAAUCACCUCCAUCAAGACCCAUUCCUGGUUCUCCUAUAACUAGAUUCCCCGAAACCACGAGAAUCCUUAGAAUGGGAUUACAACUUAGCACCUUUCGUUUUCACAUAGUAAGAAGAGUUGCUCCUUGGAUAGCACGGUACGAUCAAAGGUGCAACCUGUGUUUCGGAGGGAGUUAUUGUCUCGAAACUUUGUUCUCAGCUAUUCCGAUUCCAUCAAACGGAGGCCAUUGGGUCAAUGCUGUAGUGCACGCCCUGUAGUUUUCAAGUGGGGUGAGACAACUUUAGAUAGGAACCUAUUUUCAUUCUGACCAGCUCCCUGAAAACAAUGUUCGACUUCAUGUGUAGUCGGUGUAGAUGUGUCAUUGCAAUGCCACCACUAGGAUAUCAACAAGUCAUAUGUAUUACAUGACAACAUAUGCCACCAUAUGGUGACUUGAUAAAUUAAAUGGAUUUCACCAAGCUUUCGUGUUACAAUUAUAGUGAAGAUAGUGACUCACAUGUCAGCCUCCCUGAUGGGAAGCAAAAUCACUCUGACUUUGGCAACCUAAUUUUUGGUGGAUUCAAGCAAACAUGUUGGAUUUGUAUUUUAUUUAUUUCAACAUAUAUAAUUCAUAUAAAUAAAUCAAUUCAUAAUAGGUGUCUUAGAGACACCCAUGUCAAUAAUGUGAAAUUAUGGGAAAUCUUAUUGUGUGCAUCAACAUAAGCCAAAACUCGUGGCUUAAGAGAUAUGUGUACAAUCUUCCAAUGGUUAUUCCCCCUACUAAAUUCAUGAUGUUAACUAGUUCCCAGAAGUUGAGAAAGAAGUUUAGUCAUGGGAUCAAUGUCCAGUGCAUCAUAUUUCCAGUUCCCAAAAAAAUUUGUUAUGGAAGUUGAGAAAGAAGUUUGGGCAACAUAUUUCCAGACACCUGUCAUGUCUAGGAUCUUCUCAAGCCUAGGUAAGCUUAGUCAUGGGAUCAAUGCAGGCUAUUAGUACAUUGACCUGGUUCUUAAUUCAAGUCCUCCUUGCUUGAUACAAUAUUGAAUGGAAAGUACAUAAUCAAUUUACUUAAGUGGGUGAACAAUGUUGGCUAGUAUAUUUCAACACUCACCUCACAUGCAUCUUUUAGAGGCAUAUAAUGCAUCGUGAUGGAAACAUUUUUUCUAUAGACUAAAUUCCAAUGGAAAAUUUUAAUUAAUUUAAUUAGUAGCAAUCUCGUAUCGCAAGGAUAUAUGGCAAAUGAAAAUGAGGGCUCAAAUGCUACUUGUUGGCACACAAAAGUCAAGUUGUCUUUUUCCUCCCAUGUUGAUCCUCCGUGGUUCGACAUUGGGCAUUACAAAGAGAUCAAGUUAUCUUUACACACCGCUAGAGCUACCAGACCCUGGAUGUUCCAUCAUGAAUGUCCAUAUGGUGCAAUGAGUGAUAGCGAGGUAUAUUAGAACAUAUAGUUUACACCGUUAAAGUAAUUAAAUGGGCUAUUUUUCCUACUAUGAAAAAUAGUAUUUUAAGAGAAAACUAUAUAAGAGUUUGUGAUCUUUGUAUGUAAAAGCAUUAUUUGCCUUUGCUUGGUGUUCACGCAGUUUGAUUUAUGGCAAAAAUGGAAAAUCAUGGGACAAUAAUUGUUGAUAUUUUUUGCCGGAAAGCCAGAUCUUUUCACUUUUCAGAUCACACAAAGUAUUGUUUUUCUUAUAGGGGUGAUAUACAGUGUUCUAAAUCUGCACUUGUGAUUCGUUGUCCAUUUAAAUCUGGUUUCUUCCACAGAUUAUGUUGGUUUGUUGUUGUAUUUAUCUCAGCACUAAAGUAUACUGAUGUUAGCUAAGUCCAAUCAAAGGCCCGUGUUUUUAUCAUGUUAUACAAAUUAGUAAGCUAAGAUCUUACCAAACUCAAGUUACAUAAGCCCAGACUACGUGAAAUACACAUCAUGCAGUACACAUGUUCAUCUUAGUGUUAUGUUAUACUUGGCUCCGAGAUAACAAAUGGUAUCAAUUAUUACUAUCUUUUGCAGCUUGUUUCUGCCUGUUCAUCGUAGAAUUAUCUUAUGUGGUCUCCCAAGGUUCAUACAACUUGGAUUUUUCAUACUUUGGUAGUAUUAGUGUUCACUAGGACUAGGUGCCACUCUGCAGAACCUGAGGAUACAGAUGGAGAAAGUAGUCAUGGUUUUUUUUUCAAAAAGUUUGUUCAUAUCUAUAAGAGGUUUAUGAUUUUUCAGUGUAUAGUGUUGUGAAACCUAGAGUGUUUUAUCUCAUUUAACAUUGAACUACGCUUUCAAGGAAAAACCUUCAUUUGACAUCGAACUAUGCAUGCAGGGCAAACACCCCGUGCUUCGGUGCCACCGCGCCGCGAACCCUGGGAGCUUGAACCUGGAUGGGUGUGAACUUCAGAUUGAUGUCAAGGUUAGGGGUCAGUCAUGGAUAGAGAAUAAAGGGGACUUUGCAAAACUGUUAUUAAUAAUAUGGAUGAAACAUUGCCUUGUGGAGAGAAUAAGAUAUUUCCAGAGAUAUUUAUAAAUGGAUGCAUACUUGAAAUAGCAGUACAAAAUAUGAUGCUAACAUUUUAUUUUCAUUGUUGUUCCCAUUAAACUUCUGGUGGUGGCUCCAUUAUUCACAGCCUCGCACAUGAAAAUGUUAUUUCGUUCGGGUAAAUGUUGCGUGUCGUUGCUCCUGUAGUUUUGCGGUUUGCAUCUCCUUGAAACUUGUGAGUUGGAUUUUUCGAAGUUGCAAUGCAAAUUUGCGAUGCAGGGAAGAUAAUAAACAAUGCUUUCUAAGAGCAUUGGAUAUUGGAUGCGACUCAGAAAGAACGGAACGCAUGCAGAUGCAAGAUGCAAGACGUAGUAGGCAGUAGGCACAUGUCCAGGUUUAUUAAGAGCAUCUACACCGGACGCCUCAUAUCUGCCACAAACGCCAGGCCGAGCUUCCCGGUCAUUACUAGGACGCAAAAUUGCCACCCAACAGGAUCUGUCAAACCCGGCCCAAACGUCUAGACAUGACCGCAUUCCCCAUAUCCAGCCCAUAUCUCGGACGGAUAUGUGGAAGCCCAGAGGCGCUCGGACACACCUUCCAGGUAGGAUCCGGCCGAGUGCGGCCCACCCGAUCCCACAUAAAUUGGACCCUAUCCACACUCCGAGCGAAACCCAAGUGGCAUUCAACUCCACUUUACUCCUCGCCAGGCCACUCCCGUCCACCCACAAGCCCCAUUUGCGGAUCUCCCACCAUUUCGAGCCGUUGAACCGGAGAUCGUCCAACGCGGCCCCAAGGAGGAGAUGGUCGACUGCCUUGCGCUUCUCCACUACCGGAGGUGUCCGCCUGGCCGCGGUCGAAAUCCAUCUGGCGGGAAUCCAUUGCGUCUGCCACAAUGGAGCAUGGAUCCUGCCCGAGGGCAGUCGCCGCUGCCUUAGCAGAGGCAGUGCAGUCCGUCUGGCGUCCGAACGCCAUGGAGGAUACGCGACCACUUUGUUGGCGCACUGAGAAAGAGAUGCACACCUGCUUAACGUCUGAUACAAAUAUGGUGUGGCACAUCCACUGUGUUAGGCAGUGGGCACAGGAGCCUGCGGCAGCCCUCGUGCCAGAUGGCAGCGGGGCAGACUCACACUCUUCGAUGCCUCGUAUCGUGCCCGGCAGCCCUUGGCGCCGAAAUCAUGUCGUGUUGGACGCGGCCGGCUCCACCAUCAUGGAUCAACUAUCGACCUCACAUCCACCGAUGACAUGAGGGCAUGGGCUCCGACGAGAAAGAGUAGGCCAUGGGAGAUGGCGCCGACUCGAGUUUCUUUUGCAGGGUCGUGUCCCAUGUCCUACUCUACCUCACCGGAGACUGACCCUCCACUUCGACAGGCUCAGACAGCCAUCGGACAUGGACAGGUUCGGAACGACAAGGACAGUCGCUGGCGCAAAUUUAGACUACAGCCGUCGACGCGAGGUGAGCGCGCCACGAGUUAAUCGCUGAAGAGGUUGGGCCGUUCUGUCGCCGGUGGUCAUACAGUUGCCGACGUAGUCGUCCAUGACCACCAGAUCAACGCCGCCGCCACUGCAAGUCUAGGCAUCUCUAGUGGUUGAUGUCAUUUUAGUGUAUUUUCUUUGUAUUGUGAUGAUUGCAUACUGUGUUGCAUAUUGUGGCGUAUUUUCUUUGUAUUGUGAUGAUUGUAUACUGUACAAUGUAUUGUGGCAUAUUUUUUGUGGUCUAUUUUUGAAAAAGAAACUAUAAAUAGCUAAAAGUGGUGUGCAGAAUAAAUUUGUACCCGCCACUACAAAACAAAUGCCAGUACUGACAUAUAUUUUUGCCCACCAUUAAUAGUAAUGCCCGCCACUGCUACAAGAUCGAGGUCGAUGGCGGGCUGUUUGUAACGCCCGCCACUGUUAUAGUCAUUUGUGGCAGGUGGAGCGCCCACCACUAAUGCCAUGUUGCCAGUGGCAGGCGCCUCUAAGAGCCUUACCCGUCAUUGGUAGGCUUUUGAUGCCACCACUGCUACGCAUUCCUGCGAUAGUGUGCAAUUGCGUAUCUAGUAGAACAUAUAUAACUAUCGUCCCAACAAACAGUUUCGUCCUACCAUGAAGUUAUAGUCGGGUUGAAGACAUUCAUUUAUAAUCGGAAGUGACGUUGCAGUUGCAUAUCAAGUAGGAGAUAUUUAACUACCCUAAUGACAAAACACUUUUGUUCCCUAAAUUACAGUCGCAUUGGAGACAUGCAUUAGCGAAACGACACCACCUGUAGUUGUGUGUUUGGAGUUAGACAUGCAACUAGCUCCACAAUAAUAAUCUGAAUUUUAAGUUUUAAUGAAUUUUAAAUUAGAGAAAAAAGAAAAGAUGAAGAUAUAAAUGCAGAAAUAGAGAAAACAAACAAUAGGAAAAAUCCUAAAAAAGGCAAAAACAAAGAAAGGAAAAACCUGUUUGAAGUUUCUAGAAGCUUCAUAUAACCAGUAGAAAGAGUCCUACAUGGGGCGGCCCACUCACACAUGUAAAAAGAGGCGGGCGAGGCGUAUGUCGACUAGCUCAGAGUUGGGGAAUCCUAUUCCGUGCAUAGUCGCUACGUAGCGACCAAAGGCGUACCCCUCGGGUUUGUGGUCCUCUUCGGGUCGGUCCAUUCCAGGUUCUUCCGCAUACUGGUGCUUAGGAAGGUUCUAGACCUUUUUUUCUAUUUUCUUUGUUUUCUUCUAGUUUUUUCUUUCUUUUAUAUUUUAGUUAUUACUUCUUAUUUUCUUUUAUUUUAAAUUUUCCGUUUUGGUAUUGCAAACAUAUUUUCAAAUUCAUAAAUGUUUAUUGAAAUCGCUAACAGUUUUUGAGUUGACAAACAUAUAUCUGAAAUAAUGAACAUUUUCUAAUUCGACAAUACAUUUUGAAAUCACAAAAUAACAAAAAAAUAACUUUUGAGGACAUUUUCAAAAAAUUCUGAACAUGUUCGUCAAUCGGCCGACAUUUUUUGAAUCGAUGAACAUUUCUAUGAAUUGACAUGAUUUUUUUGAAUCGAUGACCAUUUUUUGAAUCAAUGAAUAUUUUUUACAUGAAUGAACAUUUUUUGAAAUUCACAAUAAAAAAAUUUGUGAACAUUUAAAAAACUUGUUGAAUAUUGCUUGUAUCUCAACUUCCGUCCUGAUUAAUUAAAUAAAGUGGUGAUACCCAUCAAAAGAAAAUAGCUACGGUUGGCACAAAAUUUACUGCAAAUUAAUCAUGUGAUGAAAGACUUAGACGUGACAUAGUUUUUAUGUACCCUGAUAAGUGCCACACGUCAGGGUCGUUCUCAUGACAACUUUGAACAUUUUUUAUGACAAGUUUAGUUGCACGAGGAUGGCAAAUUUAAUUGACAAGCAUGAAAACUUUCGUGCUUUAUUUUAUUUUAAUAGAAACUUGUCGUGUGUCAUUGAAAUUUGCCAUCCUUGGAUGACAAGAAUUGCCAUAAAAAAAGUCAGGCCCAAAGUGCAAAGCACCUGACGUGUAAGACCUAUCAUUUGGAUACUUUAUAUCUAAGAAUUACCAUAAAAAAAGUCAGUCCCAAAGUCUUCAUGGUUACCUACGUGGAGCACCUUUUGUUCUAGAUCGCGAACUUCUUCAUGUGCUUGCACCGAAAGGGGUAGGUGAAACGUUUCAUGGAGUGAGGUAGAUCCCAAGAAAUCUGUGACUGAAAUAUCCUCAUUUAUUGCAAAGGAGAAGGCCCACGCGUAUUAUUCCGCCAGUGUAGUGCCUAACCAUAUAUCCUUCCACAUAAGUACCGUGUCUCCAACGUGCACAUUUUCUUUAGAUAUCCCUCUGUAGAUUGGGGUGAGCUUUAGCACAUCCUUCCACCAAAAAUAUCUGCACGGUUCCGACACGUGCGGGAUCUUGUGCAUGUAAUAUGUUGUCCAGAUCAAAUCCACCCAGGGCAGGUCAUGGUGGUUGUAAAAUUUAUGCAGAUAUUUGAGAAAGAGGGCCUCACUUUGGAUAUGGAGAUUGAUUAUGCCAAGUCCACCACUUUGUUUUGGUUGACAAACCAUGUCCCAAGCUGCCAAUGAGUUACAUUUAUCCCCUUGCUCAGUCUUUUUUGUCCAAAGGCACUUCCUUCUUAUGUUAUCAAGUAGCUCUAAUAUCUUUGGUGGGAAUUUGAGAGUGCAGAGAGCAAAGAUGGUGAGAGAUGUAAUCAUCGUGUUGAGGAGUGACAGUUUUGCAUCGUAUGACGUCAAGGCUAAAGUGCUGGUCAUUCUUCGUUCCAUCGUGCAAACAAGAGGCAUGAGAUCUUGGACCGUAGGCUUGGUUAUUACGAGAGGCAGUCCCAAGUAAGUGAAGGGCAUAGAUCCUACCUUACAGCUAAAGAUAGAAGCGAUGUCGUUGUAACAAUCGGCAGCACAAUUAAUUGGGAUUGAUGUAGACUUGUGGAAGUUUAUCUUUAAUCCAAUAGAAGCAGCGUAGUCUGAGAGAAUAUCCUUGAUAGUCCUUGCUUGGUUGGGGCAAGCAGGGAGUAUAAUGAUCGUAUUGUCGGCAUAUUGGAUCACUGGAUAAUCAUGCUGGUUUUGUCUUUGGAACGGAAGCCGUUUUUUUCCUUGUCGGAAAGUGUCAUUAAUGGAACCUUGAAUAAGGUCAGCUGCGAGCACAAAAAUGAGGGGUGAUAAAGGAUCACCUUGACGAACACCACAUUUGCAGAUGAAUUGCCGGCCUGGUACACCAUUUAACAGGACCGAUGAUUUUCCCGAGGCGAAGAUGCAUUUGAUCCAAUCAAGCCACUUGGCAUCAAACCCCAUGUAUUCCAUAAUUGUAAUCAUUGCAUCAUGCUCGAUCAUGUCAAAGGCUUUUGCAAAAUUUAGUUUUAGCAGGACAAUAUUUUGUUUUGGGGUUUGACACUGAUGGAUGUACUCGAAAGCCCAGGCCAAACAGUCUUGUAUUGAUCUUCCUUUGAUGAAGCCAUAUUAAUUGCGAUGAACAAUUUUAAGUAUGAGCUUUUGGAGCCGCUUUGCGAGCAGUUUAGUGAUAACCUUGAGGCAGAAGUUGAGCAAAGUAAUUGGUUUGAAAUCAGAAAUUGUCUCAGGUGACCGAACUUUGGGUAUGAGUGUGAUAAAUCCCACAUUAAUGCUCUCAAGAUUAAGUCCGCCCUCAUAGAAUUGAUUGCAUAGCUCAUAAAAAUCCUCUUUAAUUAUGUUUCAACAUUUUUCGGAAAUAAGCCAGUGAAUCCAUCCGGACCAGGUCCUCUGUCAGCCAGCAUUUCCUUGAUGAAAGCAUCGAUUUCAUCCUUGGUGAAAGGGACAGUCAAUUGAUCCACACCCUCAACUUUCUUGAUGAUGCUUUGUAGGUUGAAUUUCAUUUGAAACUCUCCAGAUUUUCCAAGUCUUUCUUUGAACGGUUGGUAUAUGAUCGCCUCUUUACUAGCAUGAUCUUCUGCCACUGUGUCAUCAGAGAGUUUCAGUGUUGGAAUUGUGUUGCGUCUGUAUCUUUCUGAGGCCAUUGACUUUAAAAAUUUAGGGUCUUCAUCACCCAAUUUCACCCAUCGAAUGGUGCAUCUCUUUUGCCAGUAUUGUCUUUGGUAGUUCAAGAGGCGUAAAAUGUGUUUAUUCAGAAUUUUCCUAAAAUUAUGUUCUGGAGUAGAAAGGAUUCUAAGAUUUUUUAGGGCAUCUAGAUUGGCCAGGGCAAGAUUAGAGUUUUCAAUUGCCACCUUAAGUUUAGAGAUACGUUUGCUCCACCUUUUCAACUCAUAUCUAAAUGCUUUGAACUUUUUGCAUAGUAAAGUGGCGGCAUUUGUAUUGGCAUGUUUUAAUGGUCUUGUCCACACAGAUUGAACCAAAUCCAUAAAACCCGGGUGCUCCGUCCAAUAAGACUCAAAUCUAAAGAUAUUGCUGCGAGGGAUGGAGGUUUCAAUUUUGACAACACACGGAAUAUGAUCAGAAACUGGUUUCCCUAGUGGCAUAACUAGAGUGUUAGGGUAACACAAAGUCCAGUUGUUAGACGUGAGAAACCAGUCUAAUUGCUCAAGGAGGGGGGGGUCUGUCUGCAUGUUGCUCCAAGUGUAAUCACGACCCUCAAUUGGAAGUUCAAUUAAUUACUAAGAGCGGAUGAUGUCAUUAAAAGCAAUCAUGUCAUUAGGAUUACCUCUAGGUUUAUUUCUGUUAUCAGGGCUACGAAUAUAGUUGAAGUCUCCUAGCAACAACCAAUCUUCAUUGGAGGGGAUAUUUAGAGUAUGAAGCCAAUUAGUGUAAGUCACUCUCGGGUCACCCUGACACAGGCCAUGUAUAUUCACCAGGGUCCACUCUUAGGCCGAUUGUGUGGAACAGAAUUUGAUGAAAGAACCAUGCCAUGAGAACUGUUCCUGUGAAAAUGGCAUUGUUCCAAAUGGCGGCAAUGCCUCUUGAAGCACCCUGGGAGGGGAUGUAUGCAAAUUUAUAAAAUCUUCUUGGACAACAAGACUUCAGGAACAAGUUAUCAAUGACAGAUUUUUUUUGUUUCUUGCAGACAGAUGACUGCACAGCCACUGGAGGAGAUAGCAUUUGAGAACGCCAAAAGCUUAGGAUCAGAGUUUAAGCCUCUUACAUUCCAGCACAAAAUAUUCUAGCUCGAUAAAAGUGCCAUGAUAAAAUAGAGCAAAUUAAAAAACAACUAAAAUAAAGCGAGGAAAUAGCUUAAGCAUUGGAGGGGCCGUCCUCAGCUUCAGCCAUUAGAGCUUCAGAAGUAACUUCUUCUGGCGGAAUGGCGCACUUGAUGAUCCCAAUGUGUUGCAGCACUUGAACAGGAGUAGGUGGAGGGAUAUUGUCCUCGUUCAGUGAGUCAGGAACAACUUGACCUGCUUGGGCACCAGCACUAGGGACAAUUCUUGGCUUGACUUUGGAAGGUUUAGCCUUGCUGUCAGAAACUGAUGGUAUCUUGAAACCAUCAUACUUAUUAGAGCGGCUACUGUGACGAACCUCAACCACAGAUGCUGGUGCUUUAGCUUUGCCCCUCCUGAUUAUUGAUUUCCCUGAGCUCAUAGCGUCACUUGCAAUAAAGCCAGUGGAUUCACUUGCAUCAGAACUAGAAGAGGUGGUCAUUGCAUCCAAUGAAAGUGUUGUUGCACCUUGAACAGGUAAGUCCAUCUCAUCCAAGACUUCUGUGAUGACAACAUUGUAGUUGGAAGUCCUUGGUAUGACAGCGAGAUCAUUUGUUGGCUGAAGAGGGUUAUCCCCACAGGACAGGGCCCAAGAACUACUGCCAGGGAUCAUCUCAGUGACAUAUACUGAAUCUGCAGUAUGUUGGACGGUUCUGGUGGAAGACAGAAUAGAGAACUGUCCCUCUUUCUCAGCAAUGCUAACAUUAAAUUGCACUGAAAUGUCACAAAAUCCAAACCCCGAGCUCCACGGGCCAUAUGCAUCUAUAAUAGGCCUAAUAGAAGCUAGGAGGUAAGUGUUCAGCCUCAACAUUGGCACACAAUCAUUCAGAAGCAAAGAAGCAUUGGUGUUCUCAGGAGAAAGCAUAGAAAGUUGCAGACCAACAUAUGAAAUAGACAGUGACAUUUCCAUGGGUGUUACCUCCUAGGCGGUCACAAGAUUGUACGUGAUAAAACUCAGCUCGGAAUCGAUGAUCUGGUGUCUUUCCUAUGCUUGUGGCCCAGCUAACAAUCUCGACAUCUUCUGUACUGCAUCAGGUGAUGCAUGAGGUAGAAUCCAUCAGUCCUACUGGUGUGCGGUUGCUGGAUGCGGCAGAAGUCGGUCUUAUGGCGGAAAACCAGCCCGUUCUUCAUGUGCCUUUUCACCUUGAUAUAUCCACCAGAUAGGCUAAAGGUUAAUAGGGCACUAUCAAGAACACUCUUUAUGUGCAAGUAAUCCUUUUUCUGGAGGUUCUUCGAUGAGUCCAAGUACAUAGCAUGGGAGUAUUACGGGUACAGAACGAUGAGGACGGCGCCGCCCCCGCUGCGCGAAUUAAGUACACCUCAAAUUUGCCUCCAUGCUUGCAAAGGAACGAUUAACACGUACGAAAGCAUAUGCGCGGAUGACUUACUAGGGAUGAUAAGGCAGGAGAAUCGCUUCCUUGUGCUUAUUAGCGAUCAUGAAUUCACCGACAUAGUUGCUCGCAUAGUCACGGUGCUCUUUGCAAACUGCCAAGAAGCUCUCUGCAUAUAGUAUGGGUCCGCGACGCAGAUAUAUUUUAUGUUCUCGAUCUUGAUGAAGUAGUUGAGAUACAACACAUACACGCGGAUGAACUGGAAAUUCAGCUUGGUUGUGUGGAACAUGUCGUAGAUGUAGUCAAAUCGCAGGAUGAACUGAUUCGCGGGCCAGGUCUCGACGUACAACUUCCCACCCGGCACCUGAGCCAUGUAAAGCGGGUAUCCUGGUUCUUUCGCGAUCAGAAGGCUUUUCUCUCCAGCCAACACAUCUUCAUGGAGUCUCUUUAGAUCAUUAUUCAGUAAGAGAUCUAGCGCUUUGGUAGGUAGGAUCGGCUCGCCGGCGACAUGGAAACGCGUCUUACCUUCGCAGGUAUUCUGUCUACCACCCGGGCCUUCAGAGGCGGCUGGCUUCUUGAAGCACCUAUGGCGCCUUUAGGGCCUUUCCUGGGCGGUCUCUUCAUUUGCUUCUUGGCGGGUGGCUGUAGUGAGCCCACCAUACCUUCCCUAACCACCACCCCUAGUGUCAUCGGGCUAAUCAGUGGACGGGCCUCGGGGGGUUGCUGGGUAGAGGCGGCAUCUGAAGGCGUUUCCUGCGAGGAUGGCUUGAAGAGAGACUUUUUGCAUUCCGCCGUAGGACGUUCUGGCUCCGGCAAAUCAGGCAACAUCAAGUCAUCAUCUCCAUGCUCAUAGCCUGAGUCUUCAUCGUCCUGAGCCAUCAAUCCUCCAUCACCAUAGGCGGUAUUUAAAUACUUGUCUGCGUCAUCAUCAUCCUCCAUAUCAUCAUUAGCAUUUGCUUCUUUGACAGUGGGGGCGACAUGAUUUGGCACUAAUCGAGGCUCUCCCUCGCGUCAUACGCUACCAUCCGCCACGACAGGUGCAGGUAAUUUGAUAGGUGGGCUGGUGUUCAUACCUUCUUGAGAAGGUGGCGUUGGCGUGAUACUGGGCGCCUCAAGACGAAGAAGAGACUUCGGCCAAGGCAAGAACCAGCUCUUGCAUGCGCCAACCAUCUUAGGGUUCUCGUUGUCGUCAUCGACUGGUACCGGAGGAGGCAAAUCCUCGAAGCCCGCUAAGACACUGGCCACGUUAACCUUGAAGACUCCAUCGGGCAUCUCUCGGUUGUGGAACAUUCGGUACUUCGGCUUCACGAUCGUUGCCUUUCCCACAGCCACCUUCUGGCCCUUGAUGUCGUAGAGUAGGGUGCAUGGGGUAUCGUCGGCCUACGAAGGAGACAUGUCUGCGACGUCAAACAUCUGAAAGGCAACAGAAAUGAAAGACUAUAGACAUGCUGGUGAAAAGGGUAUGACGCGUAAAUACCGUGAGGUCAUCGAGCUCAGCCAGCGACGAAGGCCCGCCGAGCAUGCGAGAGACGGAGGUCGGGCUGCUAUGAACAGGAACGGGACCUUUUGCGGUUGCUUGGGCAGGUGUUGGUGCUGUGGUGUUUGCCGAAUUGCUGCCGAUAAAGCUAGGAAGGGGAAAGUCCUCCGGCCGUGCAUUUGGACUGCUCUUCGACGAAUCGAAAAUUGCCGGAAUCAAGCUGGCCACCGCGUCAGUGACCAACCCAGUGACCACCCCGAGCAACUCUUCUUUGAUCUCAGCUUUGGUCUUAUUAACCGCAAUCACGACCUUCUCAUCGAUGCUCUGCUGAGUGACGACCAACCCAUCCUUCUUUCCUCUGGCUCCUCGGGGUAGCACGUCCUCCAUGAGGCGCCAUCUCUGAUAUCGUGCACACGUCCAUAGGACGGCGGCUUGUCCACCGGGACCUUUUUCAGUAUGUUUAGGGCCCGGUUGAAUGGGGUGUCGCACUUGGGCCUCGCCGACGACUGUGACGACUCGUCGCUUUCGGCCGCCUUUUUGGUGCUGCUCUUUCUGCAAAAGGAACGUGGAUGGUUUACUAUUGUGAAAAAAGUUCAAGUCGAAUUGAUUGGAAGCUAAUAUGAUAAUGUGGUAAUAUAACAAUUAGCAGAAGUCUCAUGAACUCCCUCGUAUUCGGGCCUGUGUAAAAGAUCUUUCUGACUUUGUCCCACCCACUUGUACCGGGCCGUGAUCGAGUCAUGCUCCUGCAGGUCUGUGAACUCCGACAAGGGGUCUGGUAUUCCGAGACUUUCACGUUCGGCGUCCUCCUUGGCCCAUAUGUACCUCUUCCCCUCGUAACCAUGGCUUCCGAGGCGGUGGGGAGGCGUGUUCCUGGCCUGGAGCACCUUCAUUUUCUCUGACUUUGCCUUGACUUCUUCUUUUCCGCAAUUCUCCUUAAAUUUUACAAAGUCCUCUGCCGUUAUUGUUGGAUUAUCAGCACGAAUCUUGGGCCACGGUUCAUUCUUCGCAAUCGCUUUUUUCACCAGAACAUUCCAGGAGCACAAGUCGUUGGUGAACGUCACCAUCGCGUUGUCGCUUAUCUUUGUCAUGGUGACGUCGUCCCACAACUCUUUAUAUUUGCCUUCCUCCCGAUCGGGGAACAGGAACCUAUUGUGCAACUUCUUUAGGAGCAUGUGCUCCAUAUGUGGUAUCUACUUCAACCUCUCGUCGUUGAUAUUGGCGGUUUCCCUGAGGAUGCAUCCAUGUUGGCUGCCCUAGCACGAGCGCGCUUCCUCCAGCAUCGUUGGCUCUAACUUCUUGGGGUGCAUCUCUGUAACCACAAUUUGUCUGAUGCCAAGCUCGUUUGGUCUUCGCGUCCUCUUCUUCUUUGGUGCUUUACCGGCUACGACAACAUCGUUGCCGGUCUCGGGUGUGGUGUCGGUGCCGGUGCCAGUGCCGGUGUCAGGGUUGGGGCCACUCCCGCCACCAUGCAACCCUAUCUGGUGUUCGUCCAGGUAAUCGAAAUAGUUAUGUGCUGCCUCAAUGGGGUCUGCGAGGCGAGCAGACCACCCACGACUUCGGCGUUGGUGGACAUGUUUCCUAUUCAACAAUUGUAAAUAAAAGAUAUAAUGAAGAGAAAAAAGGGCCUAUAUUUGGUCGGUAUGUUCAUUCCCCUUCCGGGAAAUCCCGGGUACUCCAUAUGUCCUAGUUUCUAGCAUGAAAUUUUUGCCACGACAUUUGCUAAGAACUAGACAUAUGGAACGCCUGAAAUUUGCCAGAACAGAAAUGAAUCAACAUUCAGGCAAAACAUAGGCCAAUCGGAUAUUUUUUGGCAUUCAACCAACAUUGCAAAACCAACAUAUAACAUCAAUGACAUAUAUCAUUCAAGCAAAAGCAUGCUUGUACUUAAAUACACAAAAAUGACAAAAAUAGCACAAACUUGCUCAAACUUGCUCCUAGGGUUCAUACAUAGCUAACUUACCCAAAAUUUUGCUAAAUUUGCUACUGUUUUUUUUAUUUGGUACUGUUUUUAUACUUAAUUUUUUUGCUACUGUUUUUUUAAAUUACUAUUGUUUUUGUAAACUUUGCUACUGUUUUCUAAAUUCUUUUGCUAUUGUUUUUUAAAUUCUUUUGCUACUGUUUUUUAUACCUAAUUUUUUGCUAACUUUCUACAAAAAUUUGCUAACUAGCUAAUAUUUGCUACAAAAAUUUAGUAACUUGCUAAUAAAACAAAAAACAAAAAUUUGUUAAUUAGCUACUGCCCUAAUUUGCUACUUUUCUAACUUGCUAAAAAAUUCCUAACUUUGCUAACUUUACUAAAUUUGCCCUGAAAUUUGCUAACUUUGCUACUGCAUUUGCUAACUUUGCUCAAAAUUUCCCCUAAAUUGAAAACCUAGAUGGGGACGAGGGGGAGGAGGAGGUCGGAGGGGGAGAGGGAGGUGGGGGCAGUACCUGAGGAGGAGGACGGGGCCGGAGGGGACAAGGAGGAGUAGGAGGCCGGAGCGGACGAGGAGGAGGUCUGAGCGGCGGCGGCGCGGAAGAGAAGGAGGUCAGAGCGGCGCGGACGAGGACGAGGAGGAGGCCGGCGGCAAGGCCGAGUGCGGGCAGGGGCGACGGGUCGGCGUCAUGGUCCAGGUCGAGGGGGGACGGCCGGCGGGGCGGGCAGCGCGGGCGAUGACAGCAGAGGAGUGGGAGAGGUGGGAAGUAGGGCGAAUGGGGACUUUGCAAAAUUUUGAGUCCGUGCGGGCAAUGGUUAACUCAAAAUAGCAGUACCGCUGGUUUAGCUAUAGCGUUGGUUCAGCGCUACUGCUAAGUUUUUCAAUUUUACUUUUUUUAUUUCUAAAAUACAAGUAGCAGUAGCGCUGGGUUAGGAACAACGCUAUAGCUAACUUAGCUAUAGCGCUGGUUCCCUAAACCAGGGCUACUGCUAAGUUUUCCAAUUUUAUUUUUUUAUUUCUAAAAUACAAGUAGCAGUAGCGCUGGGUUAGGAAAAAGCACUAUAGCUAACAUUUCUUUUCUUUUUAUUAUUUUCUGUUUACUUCUUUUUUUUCUUUUGUAUUGCUUUAUCCCUUUUCUUUUCUGUUUACUUUCCUUUUCCUUUGUAUUGCUUUAUCGCUUUUCUUUUCUGUUUACUUUUCUUUUCUUUUGUAUCGCUUUAUCCCUACGGCGUCUCCCUCCCACACUGCACUGAUAUCACCGGAUGCAUGCAUGUAAUUGAAGGGAGAUGCGAUUACAUUAUUUGACCGAUAACGGUUACUUAAGUGCGUACACAAAAUAGAUAAAUAUAUAUAAAUGUAGGUUUGUGAUCAACUGCGUCGACAAUGUUUCACAUUAAGCUUCUUCCCUUUCUUGUUCGUUGCCGAGUAAUUGAGCCCCUCCUUGUGUCUUUUCCGGAGCCAUGGAGUAUGAUCUUUCUUAGGUAAUCUAGUCUUGAUUCUUCGUUUCACGUAUGCUUCAUCAUCAUCGUCAUCUUCCCUCAUCGGGUUGCCGUAUUGGUCGUAGUCUUCUUCAUUGGCGACUCCAUCCAUUCCAACGAUGCACCUUUUGGAUCUCCUCACGACAACACGGCUGGGAUUUCCUGGGUCGGUUAUGAAGAAGCAUUGUCUCACGUGCUUAGCGUAUACCCAUGGCUCAUUUUUGGCGAUGACGUUAAUGUUCACGGGAGAGCUCUUCGCGUCGGGUAUAGACAAGGUGGUGAAAUACAUGUUUUCUCUUACGAUUCCUUGGCCCAUCUGACACGGAACAUCGUCGCAUCGUGCAUUCCAGCAUAGUACAGCUCCAAGAUCUCUUCGACCCAUCCGUAGAAUCUUUUAGUUGUGUCGUUGGCGUUAGUCACGCAUUGAAUUAUCACCCUGGAGUUUUGGUAAUCACUGUCCAUGCCUUUGGCCUCCGUGUAGAACAUGUAUCCAUUGAUAUCGUAGGACUGAUAGGUCGCGAGCUUGGGCGCGGGGCCAUGUGCUAAGGCGUGUAUGAGCAAUCUGUCCGAACUGCCCUCUUCCGGGGGAUUUUUAAGAACUUGCUCUUCGAACCAACACAAGAAAGUGGCGUUGUGCUCUACAAUAAAUUCGUCGUCUGUCUUGAGCAUCCCCUUAUCACGGUACUUCUUUGCGAUGCUUUCUUUGUGCCGUGCCACAUAAUCAUCUACCACAUCUAGGUGUUGUAGCACUACUAAGUUAGCCCUGUCAAAGUCGUUCCAUAGAUCCAAGUAGUCCACAUGCAAUUCCCUCGGGCCGUUGUUGUGACCAUCUCCUUCGAGCUUCCCAUUGUGCUUCUUGACAAGCAAACCAACAACAGGGUCUCCGACCCUUAUAUAAUUCUCGAAGAAGGAGACGCACUCAUGCAUCAGAUACCCCUGGACGAUGCUCCCUUCGGGACGGGACUUGUUACGAACGAAUCCUUUGAUGACCCCAUUCAUCCUCUUCAACGGUAUUAUGAUGUGAAGGAAUGUCGGCCCGAGGUCGACGAUGUCAUCCACGAUGUGGACACAGAGAUGCACCAUGAUGUCAAAGAACGCGGGCGGGAAGUACAUCUGAAGCUCACAUAGUAUGACAACAAUCUCUUCCUGUAGCCUUUGGAGCUGCUUCACACUUAUGGGCUUUCGAGAGAUAAUGUCGAAGAAGUUGCAGUGACCAGUAAGCGUGUCACGGACGUGCUUGUCCAUUAUCUCUCUAAUGGCAACUGGGAGUAUCUGCGUCAUCAUCACGUGACAGUCAUGAGACUUCAUCCCGCUGAACCUUUUCUUCUUGGGGUCUAGAAAUCUGCUUAUCUUCCCAGAGUAACUGGAACUGACUUUGAUUCCCAUAAGGCACUUGAUGAAUUGAUCGAUCUCCUUCGCACUUAAGGUGAAGCAAGAAGGGGGGCAAUAAUUCUCCUCCUUCUUGUUAACUUUUCUGCCCCUUUUCCCCUCCUCCAUCUCCGUCUUUGUCUCCUCCAUGAACUUUUUACGGUGGAGAUCUUUCCUGAUCUUCAAAUCUUCCAAGUCUUUCCUUGCCUCCGGGCCAUCUUUUGUCUUCUCCGGCAUCUUCAUCAGUGUGCCAAGCAAGCCCUCGAGGACAUUCUUCGUGAUAUGCAUUUGAUCAAGGCAAUGAGGCGUGUCGUGAUUGGGCCAGUACUCCAAGUCCCAGAAAAUAGACCUCGUUUUCCAUACCUUCAGCAGCGGCUCUGACGCCUUUCUGAUCUUUCCAGGGGCGGGGCAUUCUUCCCAGUUUCUCAAUAGCUCAUCGAUUUUGGCGCCGCUCCUCUUACGUGGAGGUCCUCGAAGCUCAGCCAACCCAUUGAAUAGAUCUCCAUGCUUUCUCCACAGGUCAUCCUUCUUGAGCCAUCUAUGAUGCCCCAUGUACAUGGUUUUCCCGGAUACGCCCUCUUUCGUUGACGUAAGCUGCUGAGAAGUUUUAUGAUCCAUGCACCUCCUGCAUCCGCAGUAUCCGUGGCACACCUGGCCUGGGGUGUACGCGUAAUCGAGAUAGUCUUGCACCGUCGUCAUCAGCGUGGCUCUCAUAUGGAAAUACUCUCCUUUGCUGGUGUCCCAUGUCCAUGCCGGUGAUUUCCAUAACGUGUCUAGCUCCUCUUGCAGAAGCCCCAUAUACAGGUUAAUACUAUUUCCCGGUUGUUUCGGCCCUUGAAUCAGCAUGCACAUGUGUCUGUACUUUUGUCCUCAUGCACUUCCAUGGGAGAGGUUGUACAUCCAUACAAACACGGGCCAUGUGCUAUGGUUGGUGCUCCAGUUUCCAAACCGAUUCAUGCCAUCGGUACUCGCACCAAGCACGAUGUUCCUUGGAUCUUUUGCAGCAAAUCCAUACAUGGCGUUGAAUGCUCUCCACUGGCUACCAUCUACGAGGUGUCUUAGCCUCGUAUCAUCUCCAUCGUUGGGCUUCUUUCUCUCCGCAUGCCAGUGCAUGAGUUUUGCUUCCUUAGGAUCUAUGAAAUACCCCUACAGACGCGGAGUGAUCGAAAGUACCAUACAACUUUCUGAGGAGCUUUCUUUCCUUCCUUCUUGUAUCGAGAAGCAUUGCACACUGGAUAGCUGGUUUUUCCGCGUGCUCCCCCAGAUCAAUGAUGUAAUCGAUGAUGCAUGCGUGGUACCUAAUGUGUGGCAAAUCAAAAGGGCAAAUGAUUUUCUUGGCCUCCUCGACACUAGUAGGACACAUGUUCCCAGUGGGAAGAACUUUAUUAUGUAGAUACUUCAAAUGCGCAUCGAGGCUUUUGUCUGUCCAUUUGAUUUUGGCCUUCGUCUUUAGAAGUACGAGCAUGAAACUCAAGCGGGUCACCUUGGGAUCGCAACCGUCAUACAGUGGAGUCCUCGAGUCUACUUAAAGUUGCACCAGCUUAGCCUCCUCUCUAUAAGCAUCUCUCUCGCUAGUCGAACUCUUGCGAAGGAGGUCUUAAACGUGAGGAUCCUGCACGACUGCACUCAGUAGCGUCGAAGACAGUGUGACCGCCACCUCUUCUCCGCCAUGUCCGGACUCUUCUUCACCGUGUCCAGAAUCUUCUCCGCUGCCGUCACUUCCGGACUCUUCCCCGCCGCCAUGUCCGGCGCCACCGUCUUCAUGUUGAUGGGUCAUCUCUUCGUCUAGCCCCAUGUCUUUAUUACCUACCAUGUGGACAUCCUCAUCAUCAUCAUCUUCUUCACUUAUCCACUGAGUAUAGCCAUCCAUGAAACCAUUCAUCAGCAGGUGCGCCUUCAAAGUGACACGAUCAAAAGGGUCCAAAAGGACUCCUUCCUUGCCCCUUGCAUCUUGCACGCAGACAUAUAAUCCUAGUCCAAUUAUUUGCGUACAUGUCCAUCACCGCGGAUUGCAUGUACCGCUCCACCUUCCGUCAACUCACCUUCAUGACCGACUGCACGGUAUAAAAAGCAACAGGGUUAUAAAAUAAAUAAUGCAUGCAUGCUUCAAAGUCAUAUAAAAUUUUGGCAUGACCUUGCCUAAAAAUAGGACAUAUUGGGUUUGCUCGAAAUUCACCGAAAGAGAAAUAAAUCGACAUUUUAGCAAAACAUAAGCAACUCGAUGGCACGUCACACUCGCACAAAUCUCUCCAUAUCAAACACAUUUGAACACAUUUGAAAACGGGAAAAUUGAGAGUUGUACAUGGAACAGAUUUGAAGUUCAUGAAAAAUGUCAUCUUGAUUUUUUUCUUUUGAGCAAUGGAAUUGAAUUUUUGAUGACUAACAUAAUUAGGUCAAAUAAUCAGCUAGAUUUAUACUCUUGGAACUUUGAGGAAAAGUAACUCGAAACAAUGGUAGAGAACACUUCGAAACACUGCCGCUGUGGUUCCUCCAUACUCUCUGUCUCUCCCUCCCUCUUUUUUAUCUCCUACUAUAGGACGUGCGGAGCGGAAAACUGAGUGGCACACAAAUAUUAAAACAUCAAUACAAUGUGUACUAGUCAAUUUGGCCCUUUGUAUGUAGUUGAUCAUAACAAUGACCCAAGAUUGGAUCAAAGUUUUUCUUCUGAAGUAAUAAUAGGCUUCUCUUAGAACUCAUGAUUUACAAGUUGCACCAUAUUUGAACUUCCUCCUGGCUUUCUACGGAUCAUCUUGAAGAAGUCCUUAUUAGCCUUUUUAUUUGGAAUACAAACAUCAUACAUGUCUAGAACACAAAAACUCUGGUUGCCUUUUUCCUACUACGAACAGAUACUACAAUCACAAAACUCCAUAGAAUUGUUGCAUUUGUUUCUCAUACCUUUCUCUUGGGCCAAUAAACAAAAUAUUUAUUUCAAGAGUUCAAUCUUGUCUUAGACCUGCAAGGUAAGAUGUCGGCACUGAAUACACACACUAUACAACACACAUUCAAAGUAAAGAUGCAAGUAAAAAAGAACAUAUAUAUCUUGAUGCCUAAAUAAUAAUAAUUAUGGGUAUGGCAACAUCUAGUAUAUUUUUUCAAACAAAACUAAUCAAUCUUAAUUUUGCUUAUACAGUGGGAAACUAUUUCAAAUAUAACUUGCAUAUUAUUUCAUAUCUUAUUUAGUCUCAGGCUCCAAAAGAUCAUGGGAUAAAUAACUCAUGAUUGUAUAAUUCAUGCAAAAAUCAGUAUAAAUAAGGUGAAGAAUUUGCACUACCCAAAUCUAAAAGGAGUACAUGUCAAUCUCUGGAGGCAUGAGAUGUAGAUGGUAUGUACAUAAAUAUAGACUAAACCAACAUGUGUCACAGGUGAUUAUGACGAAGAUCGAACAGCUGCCGCCGGGUAGAUACUAAAAAUAAAUGAUGGAACAGGAUGAUAGUCAAAGCUGGGUUCGAGAACUACAGGAUUAGGGAGACCUUGAGACGCUGGAUAUAGGAGCGUAUACAUGUAUACUCAGACAGGAAUUUCAAAACGAUGCAAGACUACAUCAACCUCUCAUCCAAACAAGAAAUUCUGCUAUGUGCAAAUCCCUUCUUCUCCUUCCACUCUUCUUCCUCCCACUCAUCUUCACUUGUUGUGCCUGACCAUAAUGAGGCCGAGCACCUGCAACGUCGGAGAGGUAGUUACUAAGAUUGCCGGGAUUCUGCUACACAUUCUGCAGUAUUUGCCAAGCAUGAAGUCGGGGUGCUCGCAGUAAGCACACGUGAUGGGGUGGAAGCGAUCUUACUCGAGCGGUCCGACCCACUAAUUUUAGUAGUUUUAUGAAAUUAUCUCAGUUAAAUUGAGAGUAUCCAAUGAAACUUGAGGGAGAAAAAUGAAGAUAUGUGACCUAGUGAUAGUCCGCUCGCCUAACCUCUUGGUGGAAUUUACUAUUGUGGUUAUAAAUAGUUGCAAAUUUGAUAACAAUAUAAUCUAGCAGUUGCUAUGAAAACUCUAUGAGGGCAAACUACCAACCAACACUACCAACCAACAUAUAAUCUAGCAUUCCAGCAUAGUACAGCUCCCAGAUCUCUUCGACCCUUCCGUAGAAUCUUUCAGAUGUGUCGUUGGCAUUGGUCACGCAUUGAAUUGUCACCCCGGAGUUCUGGUAAUAACUGUCCAUGUCUUUGGCCUCCGUGUAGAACGUGUACCCAUUGAUACCGUAGGACUGAUAGGUCGCGAGCUUGGGCGCGGGGCCAUGUGCUAAGGCGUGUAUGAGCAAUCCGUCCGAACUGCCCUCUUCCGGGGGAUUUUUAAGAACUUGCUCUUUGAACCAACGCAAGAAAGUGGCGUUGUGCUCUACAAUAACUUCGCCGUCUGUCUUGAGCAUCCCCUUAUCAUGGUACUUCUUUGCAAUGCUUUCUUUGUGCCGUGCCACAUAAUCAUCUACCACAUCUAGGUGUUGUAGCACUACUAAGUUAGCCCUGUCAAAGUCGUUUCAUCGAUCCGAGUAGUCCACGUGCAAUUCCCUCCGGUUCUUGAUAGGCAAACCAACAACAGGUUCUCCGACCCUUAUAUAAUUCUCGAAGAAGGAGACGCACUCAAGCGUCAGAUACCCCUGGACGAUGCUCCCUUUGAGAUGGGACUUGUUACAAAUGAAUCCUUUGAUGACCCCAUUCAUUCUCUUGAAAGACAUUAUGCUAUGAAGGAAUGUUGGCCCGAGGUCGACGAUGUUAAAGAACGCAGACAAACAGAUGCACCAUGACAUUAAAGAACGUGGGCGGGAAGUACAUCUCAAGCUCACAUAGUAUGACAACGAUCUCUUGUUGUAGCCUUCGGAGCUGCUUCACACUUAUGGACUUUCGAGAGAUAACGUCGAAGAAGUUGCAGUGACCAGUAAUCGUGUCACGGAUGUGCUUGUCUAUUAUCUCUCUAAUGGCAACCGGGAGUAUCUGCUUCAUCAUCACGUGACAGUCAUGAGACUUCAUCCCGCUGAACCUUUUCUUCUUGGGGUCUAGAAAUCUGCUUAUCUUCCCACAGUAACCGGAAUGGACUUUGAUUCCCAUAAGGCACUUGAUGAAUUGAUCGAUCUCCUUCGCACUUAAGGUGAAGCAAGAAGGGGGGCAAUAAUUCUCCUCCUUCUUGUUGACUUUUCUGCCCCUUUCCCCCUCCUCCGUCUCCAUCUUUGUCUCCUCCAUCAACUUUUUAUGGUGGAGAUCUUUCCUGAUCUUCAAAUCUUCCAAGUCUUCCUUGCCUUCGGCCCAUCCUUUGUCUUCUCCGGCAUGUUCAUCAGUGUGCCAAGCAAGCCCUCGAGGACAUUCUUCGUGAUAUGCAUUUGAUCAAGGCAAUGAGGCGUGUCGUGAUUGGGCCAGUACUCCAAGUCCAAGAAAACAGACCUCGUUUUCCAUACCUUCAGCAGCGGCUCCGACGCCUUUUUGAUCUUUCCCGGCGCGGGGCAUUCUUCCCAGUUUCUCAACAGCUCAUCGAUUUUGGCGCCGCUCCUCUUACGUGGAGGUCCUCGAAGCUAAGCCAACCCAUUGAAUAGAUCUCCACACUUUCUCCAUAGGUCAUCCUUCUUGAGCCAUCUAUGAUGCCCCGGAUACGCCAUCUUUUUUUGACAUAAGCUGCUGAGACAUUUUAUCAUCCAUGCACCUCGUGCAUCUACAGUAUUCGUGGAACACCUGGCCUGGGGUGUACCCGUAACUGAGAUAGUCGUGCACCAUCAUCAUCAGUGCGGCUCUCAUAUGGAAAUACUCUCCUUUGCUGGUGUCCCAUGUCCAUGCCGGUGAUUUCCAUAAUGUUUCUAGCUCCUCUUGCAGAAGCCCCAUAUACAGGUUAAUACUAUUUCUCGGUUGUUUUGGCCCUUGAAUCAGCGUGCACAUGUGUUUGUACUUUUGUCUUCAUGCACCUCCAUGGGGGAGGUUGUACAUCCAUACAAACACGGGCCAUUUGUUAUGGUUGGUGCUCUGGUUUCCAAACCGAUUCAUGCCAUCGGUACUCGCACCAAGCACGAUGUUCCAUGGAUCUUAUGCAGCAAAUCCAUACUUGCUGUUGAAUGUUCUCCACUGGCUACCAUCUACAAGGUGUCUCAGCCUCGGAUCAUCUCCAUCGUUGGUCUUCUUCCUCUCCGCGUGCCAGCGCAUGAGCUUUGCUUCCUUAGGAUCUACGAAAUACCGCUGCAGACGGGGAGUGAUCGAAAGGUACCAUACAAAUUUCUGAGGAGCUUUCUUUCCUUCCUUCUUGUAUCGAGAAGCAUUGGACACUGGACAGCUGGUUUUUCCACGUGCCCCCCAAAUAAAUGAUGUAAUCGUUGAUGCAUGCGUGGUACCUAAUGUGCGGCAAAUCAAAAUGGAAAAUGAAUUUCAUGGCCUCCUCGACACUAGUAGGACACAUGUUCGCCGUAGGAAGAACUUUAUUAUGUAGAUACUUGAAAUGCUCAUCAAGGCUUUUGUCUGUCUAUUUGUUUUUGGCCUUCGUCUUUAGAAGUUCGACCGUAAAACUCAAGCAGGUCACCUUGGGAUCGCAACCGUCAUACAAUGGAGUCCUCGAGUCUACUUAAAGUUGCGCCAGCUUGGCCUCCUCUCUAGAGGAAGCCCUCUCACUAGUCGUACUCUUGCGAAGGAGGUCUUAAACAUGAGGGUCCUGCACAACUGCACUUAGUAGCAUCGAAGACUGCGGUGUGACCGCCGCCUCUUCUCCGCCAUGUCCGGACUCUUCUUCGCCGUGUCCGGAAUCUUCUCCACCGCCAUCAUUUCCGGACUCUUCCCCGCCGCCAUGUCCGGUGCCAUCGUCUUCGUGUCGAUCGGUCAUCUCUUCGUCUAGCCCCAUGUCGUUAUUCCCUGCCAUCUGGACAUCCUCAUCAUCAUCAUCUUCUUCUUCACUUAUCCACUGAGUAUAGCCAUCCAUGAAACCAUUCAUCAGCAGGUGCGCCUUCAAAGUGCCACGAUCAAAAGGGUCCAAAAGGACUCCUUCCUUGCCCGUUGCAUCUUGCACACGGACAUCUAAUCCUAGUCCGAUUAUUUGCAUACAUGUCCAUCACCGUGGAUUGCAUGUACCGCUCCAGCUUCCAUCCACUCACCUUCAUGACCAAUUGCACGGUAUAACAGGCAAAAGGGUUAUAAAAUAAAUAAUGCAUGCAUGCUUCAAAGUCAUAUAAAAUUUUGGCAUGACCUUGCCUAAAAAUAGGAGAUAUUGGGUUUGCUCGAAAUUCACCGAAACGGAAAUAAAUCGAUAUUUCAGCAAAACAUAAGCAACUCGAGGGCAUGUCACACUCGCACAAAUAUCUCCAUGUAUAUAUGCCAAACACACGUAUUCUCAUUCACACACAUAUUCCCAUUCUUGAAAUGAACAACUUUUUUACUCACCUAUAUAUCUCCCGAGAGAGACCGAUCGAGAGAGCACGCGGUUAAUUAGAUGAUGAGAGAGACCGAUCGAGAGAGCAUGCGUGGAUGGCUAAUUAGCUAGCUAGAUCUAGUUGUUGGGGAGGAGAGGUGAAUCUAGCUAGUUAACUAAUGGAGAUGGAGUUAUGGUGGAGGGGCAUUAAUGGGGAGAGGAAGAGAGGUAGGAGAAACAAAGAUGUGAGAGAGGCCAUUAAUGAGGAGAGUUGAGAGGGACAUUAAUGAGGAGGGAAGAGAGGUACAAGGAAGAGAGAAGAAGAGCAACAAUGGUGGAGAGUAGAGGGGGAAAGGAGGGGGAGAGAGGGCAAAGUGGGGGAGAGGAGGGGGAGGGGUGAAAAGGUGGCACCAGCCGCAACUAGUAGUAGCGUUGCUUACCAAAAUGCGCUGCUGCUACCGUACUUAGUAGCAGUGCUUUCCUACAGAAGCGCUACUACUAAGUGGGACCCAUUAGCAGUAGCGGCGCAGUAAAAUACAACACUACUACUAAAAUGUUAGUAGUAGCGCUGGAUUCUGCACAGCGCUGGUACUACAGCUACCGUCGGUGGCCUCGUCUGGUCCACAUAGUAGUAGCGCGUUUUUGGUUUCCAACGCUACUGCUAUAGACAGAAUAGUAGCGCUUCCCUGGAUCGGCGCUACUGCUAACUAGUAGCAGCGUUCACUAUUUUCCAGCGCUACUGCUAACUAGUAGCUGCUAACUUGUAUAAGCAUUUCCCUAGUAGUGUUAAUUUGAUUGACAGAUUGCACUUCUGGUUUCUACAGCUAGUUCUAACUAAUGAUUGAAAAAUAUAUCUACCUUAACUCUAGACAACUACAACACAUUGUCACUGCCUAACAGUGAUGAACCCUAGUGAUUCAAAUAAAAAAAUUACAAUGGCAGUGACCUAUAGCAAAAGAGGGAGGGAUGAUAUGCGCACCUGGGUUGGAGCCGAGGGUUUCCUACAGUCUACUCUGUCGCCGUCAUCAUCUCCUGGUUUCGUCGCUGAAACCCUAGCAGAUGAGAGUGGGAGGCACAGAUGCAAAACACACCUCUAAUUAAAAAAAUUCCAAAUGGACCAGAUGAGAGUGGGAAGCUCAGAUGUGUACCUCCAGACUGGAGAACGACGACAAUCGCCGGAAUCAGCCAAAAUCAAAGCGGCACGACCAGCGGCGAGAGAAGGAGAGAAAAGGGAACGAAACAGAGCAGCGGGUCAUAUAGAGGGAGUAGGUUGAGGGGGUCGUUGCCCCCGUUGGUUUUGACCCCCAUGGCAUUCUAAUACUAUUUGGGCUUGCCCAAUAAGAAAAAAGAUCACCACCUAAAAAUUGUCAACUCAAAACUAUAUAUUUCUGGUCUUAAACUAAAAAGGAAAAAAAGUAAAUUUAACAAAAGUAACUAUAAUAUACUAUUAAAAAGAUCAUUAUUUCCAUUUAAAAUAAUAGAAAUGUCAUUAUUAAUAAAAUGUCAUUAUUAAUAAAAUGUACAUAUUAAUAAAAUGUCAUUAUUUCCAUUUAAAAUAAUAGAAAUUUCAUAAAAGUAAACUAUAAUAUACUAUAAAAAAGAUCACCACACAAAAAACUAAAAAGAAACAAAUUUUGAUGUGUCAAACUACAUAUUUGAAGGCUCAAUACUAUAUAUUUUAAGUCUUAAACUAAAAAGGAAAAAAUAUUAAAGUCUCAAAAUACAUAUUUAAAAACAUGUCAUUAUUUCCAUUUAAAAUGAUAAAAUUUUAAUAGAAGUAAACUAUAAUAUAAUAUAAAAAAGUUCACCACAAAAAAACCUAAAAAGAAAAAAUAAAUUGGAAGUGUGAAACUACAUAUUUGAAGGCUCAAAACUAUAUAUUUCAAGUACUAACUGAAAAGGAAAAACGUAAAUUUAAAAUCUUAAGUACAUAUUUUUAAAAAUGUCAUUAUUUCUAUUUAAAAUAAUUGAAAAUUAAUAAAAGUAAACUAUAAUAUACUAUAAAAAAGUAUAUACCAAAAAAUAGUAAUAUAAGAAUGUUCGCAUUGACAAAAUAACAAUACCGGCGUCGGUUAUAACAGCACGCCGCAACUAAAUAUAAUAGUGUUGGCAUUCCAUGAUAUUCCACGACAGCAAUAUAUUACGUCUGGUACAAAUUGUUGAUCUCAUGUAUUUCUGACACUGCCUUGUUUUGGAACGCCACCACUAUGCCCCUAUUAAUGUCGUACCAAAUCAGCCAACGCCAUCACUAUUUGAAAACAGAUAGUGGUGGCGUUGGUUGUAAUGGAGCGCCACUAACGAAAGUUGUGGCUAGCCCUUUUUCCACUAGUGAAGAUUGAGGGAGGCUGUUAGAUAAUGUUUAUGCAUAGCUUUCGUGUAGACACUUUAUAAUGGGAUAGCCACUCCCGUAUUGGGUGUCGUGCAGUUUCCCACAAACAUAACGUUUUACAAUCCUGAGAGGCCAUCCAAGGGAGUCCGUCGUAGGUUGAUGCCGUUUUUACCCUCUCUAACUAAACCUAAAGUGGCGAAGUUGCUAGCAUGUCGCCAUGUCCUUGCACUAGAGAAGGUAGUUGGGGUCUAGACGAUCGUCUUGGAGAUGGACUGAAAGAUGGUUGUGAGCAAGCUCAACUCUGAAGGGAAGGACGGCUCACCCCAUGGCCCGGCGGUUGAAGAUGUGAAGGGCAUGCUAGCUCCAAACUUUUAUUGAGUCCAAGAUCACUUGGGUUCAUGGAGUGAUGAAUUGUAUUGCCUACGUCUUAACUAAUGAACAUUGUCGGAAUGAGUUGUGAAAAACAUCGCUUAGUGUGCCUCCGAAUUGUACUAGCGCCAUUUGAACUCUGGCAUUGCCGAGAACUCUGAAUACAAUGGCAACCAUUCUAUCUAAAAAAUGAUUCCUUACAGGUAUCUUUUGCCUUAUCAAUAAAUCGAGUAUAAAAAAUUCAGUUUAAAUUAGAAGCAAGGUGAUUACCAACAUACUUAUUUUAUUCCUUAUCUAUAUCUUAAAGCAUGGCUAUAAUAAGAUGAUAUACUUUUCGUCAAAAAGUUGCUAGUAUUACUUUUAAUUGACUAGGGAACUAAAUCAUGACUACGACUACCUCUGUCCUGAUUUAUUAGGGCUCCUUGUAGUUUGGGUCAAACUUUGAAAUUUAAUUUAACUAUUAGAAGAAUAAGUUAUAUACUCUAAGAAUAGUAUCACUGAAAUCCUCUUUCGAAUAUGAAUCCAACAAUAUAUGUUUUGUCACAUACAACUUAUAAUUUGUUAGUCAAAUCUACAGUCAAAGUUGGACACAAAAUAUGAAAGGGACCAAUAAACCCGGACGGAUGUAAUAGUAGUAGUAGUACUCCCUCCGAAACAAAUAAAUGCACUACCAAAUGCUCCCUCCGUCCCGAAAUACUUGUCGGAGAAAUGGAUAUAUCUAGAUGUAUUUUAGUUCUAGAUACAUCAUUUUUUAUGCAUUUCUACGACAAGUAUUUCCGGAUGGAGGGAAUAGUAAGUGUAUAUUUGUUUCUAAAUAUGAAAAUAUUACUAUUAAAUACUACUAUACCAAAGAUAUAAGAAUAUUAAAUACUAGUAUACCAAAGAUACACAUAAAUAUAAGAAUAUUUAAUAGUAUUAUAUGGAAGAUAUUCUAUAGUUAAAUCUAUUUACUCUGUUCCAAAAUAUAAGAAUAUUACUAUAAAAUACUAUUAGCUGUUUUCAAAUAAUUAGUAAUAGAGAUAAUAUUCUUUAGUAGUGAUAUAUCUUUAUUCCUCAUUAAAUAUAAGAAUAUUACUAGUAUUAAAUACUAGAAUCCCAAAGAUAUAUCUAAUAGUAUACCAAAAGAUAUACAACAAUUAAAUAAUAUUACCUCUGUUCCAAAAUAUAAGAAUGUUACUACUACCUCCGUCUCGAAAUAGUUGUCACCAAAAUGAAUAAAGGAGGAUGUAUCUAGAUGUAUUUUAGUUCUAGAUACAUCUUUUUCUAUCUGUUUUGAUCACAACUAUUUUUGGAUGGAGGAAGUAUUAAAUACUGUCACAGCUAUUCUUAUAUUUAGUAACAGAGAUAAUAGUAUUUAAUAGUAGUAUAUCAUUGUUCCUAAAUACUCCCUCCGUUCCAAAAUUCUUGUCUUAUAUUUGUCUAGAUACGGAUGUAUCUGAUACUAAAAUGUAACUAGAUACAUCCGUAUUUAGACAAAUCAAAGACAAGAACUUUGGGACGGUGGGAGUAUAAGAAUAUUACUAUUAAAUACUAGUAUACAAAUAUAUAUUUAGUACUAUACCAAAAUAUAAGAAUAUUUAAUGGAAAUAUACCAAAGAUAUGCUACUAUUAAAUGCUGGUAUUAAAUAAAUAAAUUUGUAGUUCAACACGCGGUCCCCACCUUGGCCCGUGCCUUCCGUUUCAAUUCAUAAAGGGCAACACAUGCUUCGCCUCCCCUCUCACAUUCUUCUCAUCCCGCUCACCUCAACCAACUCCGCGCGUCUGUUCGACCGAUCCUCCGCGAUGUCUAGCUCCGGCGUCAGUGCCAUACCCGCAGCCAACCACGAGGAGCACAGCUUGGCAGCCCCCGCCCCGCCCCCCGCGGUUGCGGUCGCCCAGGGGAAAGGGAAGAUGCUUGCGCAACAGGCGCCUGCGCCGGUGGUUCGCAAGCGCAAGCCUGGGAGACCCCAGGAGAAAAGCCCACCCCCAGCGGCCACCAGAGAGGAGCUGGAAUCCAGGGAGUCCCGGGAAGGACCCUUGAACGUGCUUGCGCUCCCGGCGCCAGGGGCCCCGCCUGCUUAUGCUGUCUCAGACUACAAGAUGGUGAGUCGCACUCGCGCCCCCACACGGCGUGCAACCGCUGUAUCCGAAGACAAGAUGGUGAGCCGCGCUCGCUCCUCCCCCCUCUGCUACUAGUGAUUUGAAGUUAACUGGUGCCUAAUGAGCUGGAGUUAUUGACAAUCUUUAAUCUAGUCAUGUGAAUUAGUACUAGUGCUUAAUGAACUACCUGAUGUGUAUGUGCAAGAAUUACGUGCUGGGUAUAUGUCCUUGGACAUUCUAAUCGUUGCGAUCUCAUCUGGCAGAUGGACAGGAAUGAGAUGGCGCUGGUGGUUCGCAGGCGCAAGCCCGGGAGACCCCAGGAGAAAAGCCCGCCCCCAGCAGCCACCAGAGAGGAGCUGGAAUCCCGGG
rnacentral:lncRNA from 1 species